rnacentral:rRNA from 1 species
GAUCCCGCCGGACCUGACUGCUAUCUGAUUGGUACUAAGCCAUGCGAGUCGUUGUACAAUACAAGGCGGACUGCUCAGUAACACGUAGUUAACUUAACCUAUGGAUGGGAAUAACCUCGGGAAACUGAGAAUAAUACCCAAUGGGCCACAGUGCCUGGAAUGGCCUGUGGUUGAAAUGAUUUAUCGCCGUAGGAUAGGACUGCGGCCUAUCAGCUUGUUGGUGAGGUAAUGGCCCACCAAGGCUAUAACAGGUACGGGCUCUGAGAGGAGGGGCCCGGAGAUGGGUACUGAGACACGGACCCAGGCCCUAUGGGGCGCAGCAGGCGAGAAACCUUUGCAAUGUGCGAAAGCACGACAAGGUUAAUCCGAGUGUCUCCUGCUAAAGGAGUCUUUUGUCAGUUGUAGAAUCACUGGUGAAUAAGGGGUGGGCAAGUUCUGGUGUCGGCCGCCGCGGUAAAACCAGCACCUCGAGUGGUCAGGAGGUUUAUUGGGCCUAAAGCAUCCGUAGCCGGUUGCAUACGUUCUCGGUUAAAUCUAUUGCGCUUUACGUUUAGGGCGCCGAAAAUACUGUGCGCUA